UACGGAAGGCAGCAGUGGGGAAUAUUGCACAAUGGGCGAAAGCCUGAUGCAGCUAUGCCGCGUGUAUGAAGAAGGCCUUAGGGUUGUAAAGUACUUUCAUCGGGGAGGAAAAAACAAAACUAAUAAUUUUAUUUCUUGACGUUACCCGAAAAAGAAGCACCGGCUAACUCCGUGCCAGCAGCCGCGGUAAUACGGAGGGUGCUAGCGUUAAUCAGAAUUACUGGGCGUAAAAGAGCACGUAGGUGGUUUUUUUAAGUCAGAUGUGAAAUCCCUGGGCUUAACCUAGGAACUGCAUUUUGAAACUGAAAUACUAGAGUAUCGUAGAGGGAGGUAGAAUUCUAGGUGUAGCGGUGAAAUGCGUAGAUAUCUGGAGGAAUACCUGUGGCGAAAGCGGCCUCCUAAACGAAUACUGACACUGAGGUGCGAAAGCGUGGGGAGCAAACAGGGAUUAGAUACC
rnacentral:rRNA from 1 species